GAUGAACGCUGGCGGCGUGCUUAACACAUGCAAGUCGAACGGAAAGGCCCAAGCUUGCUUGGGUACUCGAGUGGCGAACGGGUGAGUAACACGUGGGUGAUCUGCCCUGCACUUCGGGAUAAGCCUGGGAAACUGGGUCUAAUACCGGAUAGGACGAUGGUUUGGAUGCCAUUGUGGAAAGUUUUUUCGGCGUGGGAUGAGCUCGCGGCCUAUCAGCUUGUUGGUGGGGUAAUGGCCUACCAAGGCGUCGACGGGUAGCCGGCCUGAGAGGGUGUACGGCCAAUUUGGGAUGGAGUACCGGCCAAGACUCUUCGGGGGGGCAGAAGGGGGGAAUUUUGAACAUGGGGGGAAAGCCGGAGCCACCGAGGCCGGUUGGGGGUGGACGGCCUUCGGGUGGUAAACCCCUUCCGUUAGGGACGAAGCGUUUUUGUGACGGUACCUGGAGAAGAAGCACCGGCUAACUACGUG
rnacentral:rRNA from 1 species